CCUCACCCCUGCCCGGCUUCCUGUGCCUUUCUGCCCGGAGGCUGACACUGUCCUGCAGAGUGUGUGGGUGGGGUAGCUGAGGCAGGCGUGGCCAAGGCUGGACUAGCCAUCACUUCCUGCUCGGCACUCCUUAUGCCAGGAUCCUGCAUCUGUUAGUGUUUCUCCUUUAAAAAUAUCCUCAUUAGGAAGUGCAGCCUUGACCAAUAUAUAAAAUCCUCUUUGCCAAGUGAAACACUUUAAAAUCCCAGUUUACUCCUUUAUCAAUAACUAAAUCCUUGAAGUAUAUAAAUGUGUGGUUUAUUUUAGGUCUGACUUAAAAAUAGCACAGAGUUGUAUUUUGAUUUUAGACUCAAUCUGAAAUUUUCCCUGUCACAGAAUCAAUGGUAAUUAACCUGUUGACCAUUAAGAGAAUUCAUCUGAGAGAGACUUUAAAUGUGAUGGAUAAAACACCCCAUGGAAUAGAAGGGACCCGGACCCAACACACAGGGCCAAAUGGCUUCAGCAGGCUGCACGUCGGAGCCUGGUGGCCUCGUUUUGACUCAAGGACCCUAGGAGGCUGGAUUCUGAGAUCCUGGUUGAAGAGUCACCACGCCCACUGCCCCGCGGCAACCCGUGAGCUCGGGGGCCACAGCAAGGUUCAAGCUGGGACUGAAGUGAGAGUUCACAGAUGUGACCCACGGACACCUGAAGUGCACAGAUGCUACUUGCUGAAGUGGGUGGAGAGCCACCCCUCCCUCUACAGCCCUGCAGCGUGCCUGCCUCCCUGUAGGCCCAGAGCAGGCCCUUGUUCAAAGACGGUGGCUGGGGGACGGGAAGACCCAGGAGUGCAGAGUCACAGCCCCUGCGGGUCCUCAGAGAGUCAUCUGUUCCUGCAGCAGAGCCACGUCCAGAGCCAGCAGCACCCUGACCGCAGCCUCGCCUGGCGACCUGCACGUUCCAGGGGAGGAGAUGGCAGAUGAAUCGAGGAAUCGUGGUCCAUCCAGCCUGACAGGUUGAGGGGCCACAGCCGGCAGGUGGACUCUUGGUCAGGAGUAGCUUCCUAAGACUGAAGGGUCUCCAUGCGAGCUGGGGAGGCCCAUCCCCAGGCUCUCGAUGGGGAGUGUCCUGGGGCCUCUGGUUAAUUCCUGCAGCUCUCGGGCGGAGAGUUGCCCUCCCAGAUGAGCUGGGGUCACCGGUUCUUCCACUGCCUGUAUUUUAAACUACGAAUCUCCCUCCAGGGGUUGCUUUGGUCGCCAUCCACAAAUUCCCAUGAUCUGUGCUUUUCUUCUUCAGUGCAAGCUGCUUUGAAUUUUGCCCUGUCACGUCUUUGAUGGAUUUAGACAUGUAUUACUUGAUUUGCAGACACUUGGUGUUUAGUUACCUCUUUGUUCUUAAUUUCUGGUUUAACUCCUUAUGGUUAGAUUUUAUUCCCUUCAAUUUAUAGGGUUUGCUUUGUGGCCCUACAAGUGGCCCACUUUGGUGACUGUGUGUAACUUGAAACGUGCACACUCUGCAGCCAGCUGUGCCCUGUGUGUCGGCCAUUGCUGUUCAGAUGCUCUAAAUGACAGAUGCACUGGCUGUCUCUGGCCACCCACUUCUGUCAUUCACAGAGCCUUGGGUACUCCUUUUAGUUCUCUCAUUUUGCUGCGGGCAUCUGGAGGUUCUGAAUCCUGUUUUCCUCAUGAGGUGACCAUUUACCAUGGAGAAAGGGACAGAGAUGUCAGUUUUCAGAGGAGACGCCAAGCUGCAGUGGAAGGUGCCAGUCAUUCAUGUUGCGAUGUCCCCACCUGUGUGGGGAUGGCUGCUCAUCGGAGCGGGUCAUCUGGUCAGAGGCGGCCUCCUAGAUUCCUUGCUUACAGUCCUGGCUAGUGAGUAAUUGGAUCGUGUGAUUUGUGCUGGUUAUUAAUGGUCCACUUGGCAGAGCUAAUUGCUGCAAGGAAUGCACAGCGUGGGAUUCCAGGUUGCGCCCUCCAAGGAGCGGCUCCCUGGAGACGGCUCCCAGGCCGUCAGGGCAGCUAACCAGUGCUUCCUUCACGGUUACCGCUCUCACAGCUCUGACUGCAAGAGUGCAGCUCUCUACCUGCCUGACAGUGCUUUGGGGAUAGUGGUGGCUCAGGGGACAAACACCUGGAAGUCACCUCUGUCCCGGUCUGAAUGCUAUAUUCUAAAUUGCAAUUUAAAAAUCAUUUAUGUUAUCUUUAGUUUUUUGAUAUUGAUAUUAUAAACGACAUCUCAAUGACCAUUUUAUACAUAAAGCAUAUAUAUAACUUUGAAUAUUGAAUUAGGGGUUUCCUAAAAAUGUCAUUACUGGGUUAAAUGGAAGGAAGUUUU
rnacentral:lncRNA from 1 species